GAUGAACGCUAGCGGCAGGCCUAACACAUGCAAGUCGAGGGGUAGUCCCGAUUUAUCGGGAUGAGACCGGCGCACGGGUGCGUAACGCGUAUGCAAUCUACCUUAUACUAAGGGAUAGCCCAGAGAAAUUUGGAUUAAUACCUUAUAGUUAAUAAAAAAGGCAUCUUUUUAAUUAUAAAGAUUAAUUGGUAUAAGAUGAGCAUGCGUCCCAUUAGUUAGUUGGUAAGGUAACGGCUUACCAAGACGAUGAUGGGUAGGGGUCCUGAGAGGGAGAUCCCCCACCACUGGUACUGAGACACGGACCAG
rnacentral:rRNA from 1 species